rnacentral:rRNA from 1 species
UGGGGAAUAUUGCACAAUGGGGGGAAACCCUGAUGCAGCGACGCCGCGUGAGUGAAGAAGUAUUUCGGUAUGUAAAGCUCUAUCAGCAGGGAAGAUAAUGACGGUACCUGACUAAGAAGCCCCGGCUAACUACGUGCCAGCAGCCGCGGUAAUACGUAGGGGGCAAGCGUUAUCCGGAUUUACUGGGUGUAAAGGGAGCGUAGGUGGCGUGGCAAGUCAGAAGUGAAAAGCCCGGGGCUCAACCCCGGGACUGCUUUUGAAACUGUCAUGCUGGAGUGCAGGAGAGGUAAGUGGAAUUCCUAGUGUAGCGGUGAAAUGCGUAGAUAUUAGGAGGAACACCAGUGGCGAAGGCGGCUUACUGGACGAUAACUGACGUUGAGGCUCGAAAGCGUGGGGAGCAAACAGGAUUAGAUACCCUGGUAGU